rnacentral:rRNA from 1 species
CCCGACUCGGGGAGGUAGUGACAAUAAAUAACAAUGCUGGUCUGGCAAUUGGAAUGAGUCAAUCUAAAUAACGAGAACAAGGGCAAGUCUGGUGCCUUCCAGCUCCAAUAGCGUAUAUUAAAGUUGUUGGAUUUCGGGGGCCCGGCGGUCCGUCCAAGGUGGUCCCUCUCGAAAGCCCCGACUGCUCUUCACUGUCGGGGUUCGGGACGUUUACUUUGAAAAAAUUAGAGUGUUCAAGGCAGGCUGAAUACAUUAGCAUGGAAUAAUGGAAGAGGAUUUUGUUGGUUUCUAGGCCGAAGUAAUGAUUAAGAGGGACAGUUGGGGGCAUUCGUAUUAAUUGUCAGAGGUGAAUUCUCGGAUUUAUGAAAGACGAACAACUGCGAAAGCAUUUGCCAAGGAUGUUUCAUUAAUCAAGAACGAAAGUUUUCGAAGACGAUCAGAUACCGUCGUAGUCCUAACCAUAAACUAUGCCGACUAGGGAUCGGCGGAUGACUCCGUCGGCACCUUAUGAGAAAUCAAAGUUUUUGGGUUCCGGAGUAUGGUCGCAAGGCUGAMACUUAAAGAAUUGACGGAAGGGCCAGGAGUGGAGCUUAUUUGACUCAACACGGGGAAACUCCGUCCAGACAUAGUAAGGAYUGACAGAUUGAGAGCUCUUUCUUGAUUCUAUGGGUGGUGGUGGGCCGUUCUUAGUCGUGGAGUGAUUUUCUGGUUAAUUCCGUUAACGAACGAGACCUUAACCUGCUAACUAGUCACCCGAACGACUUCUUAGAGGGACGACUGGCCAGUGAGGCAAUAACAGGUCUGUGAUGCCCUUAGAUGUUCUGGGCCGCACGCGCGCUACACUGACGAAGUCAACGAGCCUUCGCCGGUAGGUGCGGGGAAUCUUGUAAACUUCGUCGUGCUGGGGAUAGAUCAUUGCAAUUCUUGAUCUUAAACGAGGAAUUCCUAGUAAGCGCGAGUCAGCAGCUCGCGUUGAUUACGUCCCUGCCCUUGUACACACCGCCCGUCGCUACUACCGAUUGAAUGGUUUAGUGAGAUCUUCGGAUUGAGAAGUUGAUCUGAUCAUUAGA